rnacentral:rRNA from 1 species
UCUCUCGGAGUGACGGGUACACUGUGGGACCGCCGCUGCUAAAGCGGAGGAAGGAAUGGGCAACGGUAGGUCAGUAUGCCCCGAAUAUCCCGGGCUACACGCGAGCUACAAUGGUUGGUACAAUGGGUAUCUACCCCGAAAGGGGACGGGAAUCUCCUAAAACCAAUCUUAGUUCGGAUUGAGGGCUGCAACUCGCCCUCAUGAAGCUGGAAUCCGUAGUAAUCGCGUUUCAACAGAACGCGGUGAAUACGUCCCUGCUCCUU